AGCGAACGCUGGCGGCAGGCCUAACACAUGCAAGUCGAACGAACUCUUCGGAGUUAGUGGCGGACGGGUGAGUAACACGUGGGAACGUGCCUUUAGGUUCGGAAUAACUCAGGGAAACUUGUGCUAAUACCGAAUGUGCCCUUCGGGGGAAAGAUUUAUCGCCUUUAGAGCGGCCCGCGUCUGAUUAGCUAGUUGGUGAGGUAAAGGCUCACCAAGGCGACGAUCAGUAGCUGGUCUGAGAGGAUGAUCAGCCACAUUGGGACUGAGACACGGCCCAAACUCCUACGGGAGGCAGCAGUGGGGAAUCUUGCGCAAUGGGCGAAAGCCUGACGCAGCCAUGCCGCGUGAAUGAUGAAGGUCUUAGGAUUGUAAAAUUCUUUCACCGGGGACGAUAAUGACGGUACCCGGAGAAGAAGCCCCGGCUAACUUCGUGC
rnacentral:rRNA from 1 species